UCCCUGCUUUGUCCAGUUUACCAUUCUGUCACAGAUGCAAGUUACUUCUACCCAGUGCACUGUGAAAACGGAGAAGAUGUGUGUCUAACAGAAAAACUAUGGACCAUCAAUGAUAAAAGGAAUACAUUUGAACUUAUAAGAAGAUGUGGAAAAGCUGCAGAGUGCAGCCGAGUCGGUACUUAUAGCAGCAGCACCAAAGGGUUUGCCAUCAAUACUACCUGCUGUAACUCCAGUAUGUGCCUCCCUCCUAUCCCCAUGUUUCCCCUCCAAACAGCUACUGAAAAUGGACUGGCCUGUCCAACAUGCUUUGCAUCAAAUUCCAGACGAUGUACAGAAGAAGACCCAUUGAAAUGUGUUGGGAAUGAGAAUCGCUGCAUCCGCUAUGUAAAAAAUGAAUAUUAUG